rnacentral:misc_RNA from 1 species
GAUGAAGAACGUAGCGAAAUGCGAUAAGUAAUGUGAAUUGCAGAAUUCAGUGAAUCAUCGAAUCUUUGAACGCACAUUGCGCCCCUUGGUAUUCCGAGGGGCAUGCCUGUUCGAGCGUCAUAUUAACCACUCCCGCUUGCGGGGUCUUGGGCUUCGCCUCCGGGCGGGCCUUAAAAUCAGUGGCGGUGCCGUCGGGCUCUACGCGUAGUAAAUUUUCUCGCGAUAGGGUCCCGGUGGAUGCUUGCCAACAACCCCCAACUUCUUAAGGUUGACCUCGGAUCAGGUAGGGAUACCCGCUGAACUUAAGCAUAUCAAUAAGCGGAGGAA